rnacentral:rRNA from 1 species
UACGGAGGGUGCAAGCGUUAGUCGGAAUUACUGGGCGUAAAGGGUGCGUAGGCGGGGAUAUAAGUCAGAUGUGAAAUACUGAAGCUCAACUUCAGCUGUGCAUCUGAAACUGUAUUUCUAGAGGAAAGGCGGAGAAAACGGAAUUCCACGUGUAGCGGUGAAAUGCGUAGAUAUGUGGAAGAACACCAGUGGCGAAGGCGGUUUUCUAGCUUAGUCCUGACGCUGAGGCACGAAAGCAAGGGGAGCAAACAGG